UACAGAGGGUGCAAGCGCUAAUCGGAAUUACUGGGCGUAAAGCGAGCGUAGUCGGUUAUUUAAGUCGGAUGUGAAAUCCCCGGGCUCAACCUGGGAAUUGCAUUCGAUACUGGAUAGCUAGAGUUCGGCAGAGGGAAGCGGAAUUUCUGGUGUAGCGGUGAAAUGCGUAGAUAUCAGAAGGAACAUCAGUGGCGAAAGCGGCUUCCUGGACCAGAACUGACGAUCAGGCUCGAAAGCGUGGGGAGCAAACAGG
rnacentral:rRNA from 1 species